rnacentral:lncRNA from 1 species
UCGUAAAUUGCUGGAGGCACCACCAAUCACAAGAACAGCAGUGCGGCUAGCUCAUCUCCAGCUGCUCCUCAAACCAACUUUUCUCUUCACAAAAGUUUCCAGGCUGCAGCAAUGGAAAUUUUAAAAGAGGGAAAAAGUGUGAUCAGAGAAACCUCCUAGAAUAUGGAUUAACAACCAUAAGAAUAAACACUAAAUUUAAUUUCCAUCCAUGUGAAAUAGGUACACUGUUCCCAUAGAACACCAUACAUACAUGAGAGUGGGGGCAGAGAAGGUUGCAGAGAUGAUCACCACACCUUUCAACAAGUUUCUGUUGUACAUUUCAUAAUAGAUAGUCACCCAAGGAAAGUUGUUAAGAGCGCUACAAGUGAUUCAGGCAAGAACAAGUUUGCAUGUGCUACCCUUCAUUCGAAAAAUGCUAAAUCUAUUUAUAUCAUGGCUUUCGAGAUGUGUAAAUACGUGAUCUUUCCAGGGGGAAGAUCCAUCUACAGGUUAGAAUAUUAGGCUGCUCAAGCUUAGGUCAUGAAACUUGAAUCCAAUUCAAGCACACCCAAUCCGGACUCGGUAUUAAGUAGUCCUCUAUUCAUGAAUGACUUGACCUGACCUUGAUGAGCAUGUUUGAGCUUGAUUAAGAUAGGGCCUAACCUAAAUAGAAAUCCAUGAUCCUAAUCAAGGCAGUCCAUUAGUAUGCCUCAAGAUUUCUAAAGGAAUUACAACAACAUCACACAACAAAACAAAAACACUACCACAACUUGUGUGAUCUCAUUACUCCAUUCCCUUUUCUGGUUCAAUGUCAAGAUAAUGAUAAAUGUAAAACAAAAUAGGAUUAUGCAUCUUUACUACUUGAUGCUGAAAAUAGGAUUUGUUCCCAUAGCAUGUUUCACAUGCAUGCCAUAUUUCUAGUUUGCCACCACAAUGUUUAGAUUCCUUAUGUUCCCAUGCAUGCCACGUGGUGCUAAUUACACUUGUUUCUUUUGGUAGGUUUUGUAACAUUAAUGCAACAGAUAAUUGACAUUUUAAAUAAGCAUGACAACCCUCUAGCCAAUUUCCAUGUAAGUGAAAGCUUAGCACAUUUAUAGAUAGAUAACAAACUAGCUUCAGCUACUCAUGGGUAGGUUGUUAGAUUACCAUAAAUUGGGAAAAUUUACAGCUUAGCUAACAACCUAACCACUGGAACAGUCCAAUCCUGCCGGCUAAAUUCCCUAUUUUUGGGUCUCGCCUAGUUCCGUUCCUUAAAAAGUUAAAUAAAACUUCCAUCAACAACUUUCUUUGAUACACCUAAAGCUCAGUAUGAUUUUCCCAAUGCAACAACUAUCAUUUUAUAAUUUCCCUUUUCUUGGCAAUCCUCAUUAUAGAUCUCACUCAACCUAUAAAUGUCAGUCCCAUAUAAUAAGAUUUCUUUGAUUUACUGUCUGACUAACAAUGAACAAUAAGUUGUUCCCUACCAAUUUUAGGUUCCAAUGCAAAAGCAAGAUUUUGAACUGUACCAAUAUAUUACAUGUUGUUCAAUUAAAAGGUGCAACCAAUGUCAAUUCAUUAGAAAUUUUAUCACAAUAUAGUGCAUGGGCAACAUAUUUAGAUGUGCCUUGUAUCAUAUACUGUCUUAAAUUAAAAAGAAGAAAGAAUUUAUCACCUAUCUCUUGUGAUAGAAUCUCUCCCCCCAAAAAUAAAUAAAUAAAUAAAAUUAAGAGCCACAUACAAUUUACACAGGAGUCUAAAGUGAGUGUAUGCACAGGCGAAAAGAAGUGAGCUCUACCAAAGAGAGUCCAUAUAUUUGACCAAAAAUCUAGGCAUGCAUUGAAUAGAAAAGACUGAUCAGUCAUUAAUUCAUAUUGCUUAUUUGGAUUUGAUUAACAAUGUUCGGUUAAAUACCAAUCAAGACAACCUAUGAUGUAAAGUGGAUCCCCAAUGAACUUUUAUAACUCUAAAUACAUUGAUUAAAAAAAUGAAAAUAAAUUUCAAAGCAAUUUUACAAGUCUCAUUUGUGUAACAACAAUUCCCCUAUUUUUAUUGGUCAGAAAGGUGAGCUGGAAGUAUGGCAAUUUUGCCCCAAAGGCACCUCAUACCCUCAGGUAUGAACCAUAGCCCACAAUCCAAUUGAUUUAGGAGACAAAUUAUAAAUUAAGGAAUGACAGUAAACUAACCAUAGUAGGAAAGAAAUCUAAAGCAGGGGUUGUGGAAAAUAUUUUUUCGAUUUUUUUUUUUUGAACCUCAAAGUUGAUGAGUACAUUCCAGGAGGAAAAUCUUGAGAAGGAGUAUAAAAUUUUUCCCAAAUUUCUUUUCCUUUAUUCCUUUCUUGCAAAAUCAACUAAAAGAUGGAGAAAAUAUUGAAAAUGUCCAUUUUUUUCCUCUUUUCCAUGCCCACCGACAAAAACGGAGACAGGAAAUUUCAGCCACUCAAAUUUUUUAAACAAUGGCAUACCAUAUUUCCCUCCCCUUCUAUAUAUAUAUGGAUUUAUUUUUGCGUGUGAGUGUAUCACACGUAAAAUACAUAUGAAAGUUUUCAAAAUUUAGUACUUUCUUCAUAUGCAUCUAAAAAGUAUGAUUCAAUCUGCAAAAAGUAGUUAAAAUACAAGGAAAAAAUAAAUUAAAACCCUCAAACCAUUCAAAGUAAUAGUUGCCCUAAGCUCAAGAAUAAUUGAUCUCCAUCACGAUUUCAUGGCAGAAAAAACCUGAAUAAACUGCUUGAGAGAUUCAUUGAAACUGUUGACCCCAGGCAUCAUAUCUAAGAAUCUAAGAUAAGAUUUCUCAAGAAACAAACAUAAAAGGUAACAGUAUAAAACCAAAUUAAUCACCAAAUUGUAUUUGAAAAAAAAAAAAGGACGCGGCAACACAACCCGGGGAUGAUCAUCCAAACCCUUACCUGGAAUCUCCUUCCGCGGCUUGGCCGGAGCGGUGGCCUGACAAAUAAUCGCCCGGCCCAACACCGAAAGAUUCGAAACAAUUCCGACAAAAUAGAAGACCAUGACCAACCCAAGAACCCAGGGCAUUAAGAUGAAUCCAAUAAAGAACGUGACCGACCCACAGAGCAUCAAAGCCAGCGAAAUUCCCAGAAGCAGCGACGCGAACCCGGCCGGAGAGAUCUGCGUGGUCGUCGGCCGCCUCGACGUGUACACCUCCGGUGAGUGCUCCG